GACGCCUACAAGCUAGCGGCGAGUGAGCGGCAGAGCUCAGAUUUGAAAUCGUGUUUCGGCACGAGUUGUAGAGUGUAGGCGGGAGUCUCUGUGGAGCGCGGUGUCCAAGUCCCUUGGAACAGGGUGCCUGAGAGGGUGAGAGCCCCGUAGGGUGCUGCGCGAAGCUUUUGAGGCCCUGCUGACGAGUCGAGUUGUUUGGGAAUGCAGCUCCAAGCGGGUGGUAAAUUCCAUCUAAGGCUAAAUAUUGGCGAGAGACCGAUAGCGAACAAGUACUGUGAAGGAAAGAUGAAAAGCACUUUGAAAAGAGAGUGAAACAGCACGUGAAAUUGUUGAAAGGGAAGGGUAUUGGGCUCGACAUGGGGGGUGCGCACCGCUGUCUCUUGUAGGCGGCGCUCUGGGCGCCCUCUGGGCCAGCAUCGGUUCCUGCUGCGGGAGAAGGGGCUCCGGAAAGUGGCUCUUCGGAGUGUUAUAGCCGGGGCCAGAUGCUGCGUGUGGGGACCGAGGACUGCGGCUUCUGUCUCGGAUGCUGGCAUAACGGCGCAAUACCGCCCGUCUUGAAACACGGACC
rnacentral:rRNA from 1 species